AUUGAACGCUGGCGGCAGGCCUAACACAUGCAAGUCGAGCGGAGCGGCGGACGGGUGAGUAAUGCCUAGGAAUCUGCCUGGUAGUGGGGGAUAACGUCCGGAAACGGGCGCUAAUACCGCAUACUAUCAGAUGAGCCUAGGUCGGAUUGGCUAGUGGGUGGGGUAAAGGCCUACCAAGGCGACGAUCCGUAACUGGUCUGAGAGGAUGAUCGGUCAAACUGGAACGGAGACAGGGUCCAGACUCCAACGGGAGGCAGCAGUGGGGAAUAUUGGACAAUGAGCAAAAGCCUAAUCCGGCCAGGCCGCGUGGGGGAAGAAGGUCUUCGGAUUGUAAAGCACGUUAAUUUGGGAGGCGUUACCGACAUAGUAAGCACCGGCUAACUUCGUGCCAGCAGCCGCGGUAAUAC
rnacentral:rRNA from 1 species